rnacentral:rRNA from 1 species
UACGUAGGGCGCAAGCGUUUGUCCGGAAUUAUUGGGCGUAAAGAGCUCGUAGGCGGUUUGUCGCGUCUGCUGUGAAAACCUAAGGCUCAACCUUGGGCUUGCAGUGGGUACGGGCAGACUAGAGUGCGGUAGGGGGUGACUGGAAUUCCUGGUGUAGCGGUGGAAUGCGCAGAUAUCAGGAGGAACACCGAUGGCGAAGGCAGGUCACUGGGCCGCAACUGACGCU